rnacentral:lncRNA from 10 species
CUGGGCCUUGGGUUGUUUCCAGUCUUUGGCCAAUCAAAUGUCAGAGUUGGACCCAGCACCUCCGUUGGGACUGCAGAGUGCUUGUCUUCUAAGUCUGGUUAGAAGGGCAUUUCCACAUCCUUGUGGAUUCUGGCCAUCGUAUCUUAAGGAUACAUUUCUGGAAGUGGGAUUGCCAGUCGGCGGGGAGAGGCUCAUCUGGCUUGUCUGGGUGUUGUCCCUGUCCCCAAGGGGCCAGGCGUUCUGCAUCCCCACAGCAUUGUAGGAAGUCCCUGCCCCCCUCAGCAGCCGAAUCUGGUGUCAAAUUUGGAUUUGGGUCAAUCUUGUAGGUGAGAAAUGGAGUCUUGGGGUGGUUUUGGUUUGCAUUUCUCUCUCUCUUUUUUUUUUUUAAUCAUUUUCUUGAUUUUCCAAACUCAUGAGCUCGUUUGAAUAAGGAAUAUUAAUCCUAAUAUUUCUCAUUUUAAGUUAUAAUUUUUAUUGAGGUAAAAUAUACAUAAAACAACAUUUUUAUCAGAGUCCUAUAGAUGGUUAAAAAAAUUCACCAUUUUAACCAUCUCUUAAAGUCUACAAUUUAGCAGCAUUUAAUACAUUCAUAACGUACAACCAUCACUUCUGUGUGCUUCCAAAGCCUUCAUCACGCCAGAAGGAGACCCCGCGCCCGUUCAACACCAUCCCCCCACCCUCAGUCCCCGACAGUCACUGCCCUGCUUCCCACUCAAGUCACCGACACUUUGAAAAUGUGCUAUGUUAUAAAACUUUUUUCCCAGUAUACAUUUUGUCUUUUAUCACUCCUGGGUUUUAAGUCAUAUUUAAGAAGAUUUUGCCCACUCCCCGGUGAUGAAGGAAUUCACUUUUUCCUAGUACUUUUGACCCAUUUGGAAUUUGUCUUAGUGUAUGGUAUGAAGUGCAGAUUCAUUUUCGUCUUUCUCCAAGUGGUUAACGUUUAACCACUUGUAUUAACAAGUCCAUCCUUUCCUCACCGGUAUCAUAUGCUACCUUAUAGACUGAAUGUUCUAGGCACUGGGGUCUGUCCCCGGGUUUUCAUGUCCCUGGGCCUGCUUGCCUACAUGGGUCCUGGUGUCAUGUGGUUCCAUUACGGAGGCCAGGAGAUGGUUCGGGGGCAGAGGACCUCUCCAUUUCUUUUGCAGAGUUUUCCUGGCUAUUUUUACACUCCUGUGCACUUCCUCUCUCACAUGAACUUUAUAAUUAGUUUUCUAGAUCUGGGGAAAAGCAUGCGGCGUUUUUAUAAGGAUUACAUUACAUUUAUAAAUUUACUUUUGUAGAAUUGUCUUGCUUAGGAGAGUUUUCUUAUCCAGGAACAUGGUCUUUCUUUCUGUCUUAAUUCAUUUUCUGUUGCUAUGACUGAAUACCACAGAGUGGGUAAGUUAUAAAGAAAAGAAUUUUAUUUCUUACAGUUCUGGAGGCAGGGAGUCCAAGGUAUAGGAGUUGCAUCUGGUGAGGACCUUCUUGCUGGUCAAGACUCUGCAGUCUCAAGUGGUGCCGGGCAUUAUGUGAGGGUCUCAUGAGAGACGGCAAAGCUGGCUUUUAUAACCAGCCCCCUGGUGAUAACUGCUCCACUCCCUGAGAACCCAUUAGUCCAUGAAUGGAUUAGUCCUCAUGAGCCAAUCACCUCCCCAGAAUCCCAUCCCAGCACUGCUGCAUUGGAGUCCAGGUUUCCAACACAUGAACUUUUGGGGAAUUCAUUCAAACCAUGGUGGUGUUAAAAUCGACUUUGGUGUCUUUAUGGUCUAUUUAAAGUUUUUCCCAUUUAGGGUUUCACAUUUCUUUUACGCAUGGGGAUUUUUAUCUUUUUGUUGCUGUUAAAAAUGGGUCAUCUCUUCCACUCUGUCUUUGAACUGAAAGUAUGCACAAAGAUCUCUGUGUGCUACUUUAAAUCCUGCUGUUUCUCUGAAUUCUCUUAGUGUUUGUAACAUCACUUUCUUGUGCUGGAAAUAUAACAAAGUAUUUGAUCCAAGAAGCAUCUGGCAGGAAGCCUGGGCAGGAGGGGCACCUUGAGCAUGGGCUUCCUCCUCCCCUUUCCUCUGUCUCUUCUCCUACCGGCUGCUUUCCUUCUCUCCCAUCUGCUGUCCACCAGGCAGGCGUUGCCAGACCACCCCAGAGGCCCUCAAUAUGCAUUCCCACGGUCCUGGGAUUUCUAUGUAAACUGGAAAACUCACGUUCUCUUUGACACCGUGAGGCUGGGAGUUCCACAUGUGCUAUAAUCCAGCCACUGGAAGGGCGAGAUUCUGGGUUUGAUUUUCAGUAGUCUCAGACCCGCAGCUAAAGGAGGUAAGAGUCUCUCUUGGGACAGUCAUAACUUUCAGAUUAUUCAUGUGACACUUCAGCUGGGAAUCUGAAUCCUGAGCUCACUCCCAUGAUACUUUUUCUGAGAUGGAGUCUCACUCUGUAGCCCAGGCUGGAAUGCAGUGGGGCAAUCCCAGCUCACUGCAACCUCUGCCUCCCAGGUGCAAGUAAUUCUCCUGCCUCAGCCUCCCGAGUAGCUGGGAUUACAGGUGCCUGCCACCACACUUGGCUAAUUUCUGUAUUUUUAGAAGAGUUGGGGUUUUGCCAUGUUGGCCAAGGUGGUCUUGAACUCCUGACCUCAGGUGAUCUGCCCGCCUCAGGCCUCCCAAAGUGCUGGGAUUAUAGGCGUGAGCCACCACACACGGCUUUUUUUUUUUGAGACAGGGUCUCACUGUGUUACCCAGGCCGGAGUACAGUGGUACAAUCACAGCUAACUGCAGCGUCAACCUCUCAGAUUCAACCAAUCCUCCCACCUCAGCCUCCAGAGUAGCUGGAACCACAGGUGCAGGCCACCGUGCUUGACUAAUUUUAUUUUUUAGAGAUGGGAUCUUGUUAUGUUGCCUAGGCUGGUCUUGAACUCCUGGCCUCAAGCCAUCCUCCUGCCUCCCAAAGUGCUGGGAUGACAGGUGUGAGCUACUGGUCCUGGCCCAUUAUACUCUAGUUUGAUGAAAGUGUUCAAAAGCCACCGAGAACCCUGCCUUCUGCAAGUAUUUAAUUAGGAGCACCCAGUGGUGAUACUAUGCAUACCUCUAUUGCCACAUCACACUAUGGACUAUCGGUGUUCUUUUUACUACUGGAAAUCAGCAUUAGUGCCUUUACAUCUAAUCAGGAUAAAGACCCAAUUCCAGGAACCCUCCCAUCCCCACCCUCUCGCCACUCCCCACCCUCAAUUAUUUUCAAGCAAACCCUCCGCACCUCUUACCAUGUUGUGUAUAGGUAGAAGCUAUUUAACACACACACAGUGACAUUCUGUCUAAAAUGACAACGAUCGUUUGGAGAAGUUUAUUACCACCCCUACCCUCCAGUGGGAUCUCAAUGUCACGAUGA